rnacentral:rRNA from 1 species
AUUGAACGCUGGCGGCAUGCCUUACACAUGCAAGUCGAACGGUAACGGGCCUUCGGGUGCCGACGAGUGGCGAACGGGUGAGUAAUGUAUCGGAACGUACCUUUCAGUGGGGGAUAACGUAGCGAAAGUUACGCUAAUACCGCAUAUUCUGUGCGCAGGAAAGCAGGGGAUCGCAAGACCUUGCGCUGAUUGAGCGGCCGAUAUCAGAUUAGCUAGUUGGUGAGGUAAAGGCUCACCAAGGCGACGAUCUGUAGCGGGUCUGAGAGGAUGAUCCGCCACACUGGAACUGAGACACGGUCCAGACUCCGACGGGAGGCAGCAGUGGGGAAUUUUGGACAAUGGGGGCAACCCUGAUCCAGCCAUGCCGCGUGAGUGAAGAAGGCCUUCGGGUUGUAAAGCUCUUUCGGCCGGGAAGAAAUCGUAUCAGCUAAUACCUGGUGCGGAUGACGGUACCGGCAUAAGAAGCACCGGCUAACUACGUGCCAGCAGCCGCCGCGUAAUAC